rnacentral:rRNA from 1 species
UACGUAGGGGCCAAGCGUUGUCCGGAUUUAUUGGGCGUAAAGAGCUCGUAGGUGGUUCGGCAAGUCAGUUGUGAAAUCUCCGCGCUCAACGCGGAGGGGUCAGCUGAAACUGCUGUGACUUGAGUCUGGUAGGGGAGUGUGGAAUUCCCGGUGUAGCGGUGAAAUGCGCAGAUAUCGGGGAGGAACACCAGUAGCGAAGGCGGCUCGCUGGGCCAUUCCUGACGCGUGAGACGCGAAAGCUAGGGGAGCGAACAGGG